UACAAGAAGAAGCAAAGCAAAGAAAGACCAGAGGCUGUCAUCUAACAGGCUACUCCAAACGGAGCAUCUUCCACAUGAGAUUAGAGAAGAAGAUUAUCCCCCUCAACACCUGUGUUUAUCUGUAUCCUUCAUGGUGUUCUACACAGCGACCCAAGGGCACCCUCCCUGACCUACUGUGAGACUCACUAUGCUGUUGAGUGUGAAAGAGUCUGGAAAGUAAGACCCCAAAAGUUAGGAAGUGGGCUUUGCAUGGGUCAGCACUGAAUUGUGGCUACACACAGUAACCAGGGAGAGAGAGGAUCCAGUGGUGACGCGACAGGACCGACCACAGUCCUUAACCUCCGGGGAGAAGGAGCGUCUAGAACUUACGAAAGAAAGACAGAAAUGAGAUGCAGGGUCUCUGUCAUGAACAAGUAGCCUAUCAAGACCAGAAGGCCCAUUUGAAGCUCUGAAAAUGUUUCGGUAUUCUUCAAGCAGGAAAUCUUUCAAUAAUACUAAGAGGUUUCACACUAUAAUGAAG
ensembl:lncRNA